GACAGAGGGUGCAAACGUUGCUCGGAAUUACUGGGCGUAAAGCGUGCGCAGGCGGUUAUGCAAGACAGAGGUGAAAUCCCCGGGCUCAACCUGGGAACUGCCUUUGUGACUGCAUAGCUAGAGUACGGUAGAGGGGGAUGGAAUUCCGCGUGUAGCAGUGAAAUGCGUAGAUAUGCGGAGGAACACCGAUGGCGAAGGCAAUCCCCUGGACCUGUACUGACGCUCAUGCACGAAAGCGUGGGGAGCAAACAGG
rnacentral:rRNA from 1 species